UAUUAAAAAAUCUAUUUAUUUGUAUUGUAAAAACUAUUUUUCCUUAAUGGAAUAACCAGACAGUGACAUGCCAUGUUUACGUCAUGCUAACAUAAAGAGAUCAAUUUUUAACUAUAGAAAUGGAUGAAAUUUUUAAUA
rnacentral:pre_miRNA from 1 species